AUAAAAACAACUUUUCAUCUCUCACUCUCCAUAACCCUAGCCGCACAUCUCCUUCCUCCCUCUUCUUCUUCUUCCUCCCUGCGUUCCAUCCCUCUUCUUCUCCGGCCACAUUAACAACCGUCUCGUCCUCUCUCCACCUCUCUGCCGCCAUCACCUUCUUCCUUUUCUUCUCAAAUCAUUUUCUUUUCUGCACUUGUGUGACCAACAGGGCCACCACCUCCGCCCCUCUCUUCUUCUUCUCCAGGCCUAAAACCCCCAACCUGCCACCCUCAGGCCACGAUCCGGCCACCACCGGCCCUGUUUCAUGCUUUCAAGGCCUUCAAUCUCGCAAAGGAGUUUCCUUUCCUCACAUGCAAAGCGAUCUGAGAUCGGAGCUUCUCAGUCAAGAUCAAGAUUAUGUUUUUUUCUUGUUUUUUUUUUUUGUAAAAAAACCCUGGUGUUCUAUUCUGUAAAAUCCAUGUUCUGUAAUAAAGUUGUUAUUUUGGUGUUC